GUGUUCACUGGAGGAAUGAUAGGCCUUUUCGUUGCUACAUUCUGUUACCUGCAGUUCUUCCCUGCUCCAUACCAUACUGAAGGAUGGGGACCAUAUGCAUAUUUCCGGGCUGUGGAGGAGGUUCGUAGUAGCAGACCACACGUCCACCCUACUAACGGAGGAUUAGAGACGGAACAUCCUGAGGUACAACUGAAUCAGCGAUCGGGUACAACUCCCAAUCCAUUUGAGGAUGUGGAGUAUGGCAGAAUGUGAGACAUAGGACACUGCUUAUAUUUUUGUUCAAAGUAUUUUAAUUGGCACAGUUUGUUAUUUUCUUGUGAAUAUUUAUGUCUGUUUUUGUUAAGUAUUAUAGCG
rnacentral:misc_RNA from 1 species